UGCAGUCGAGCGCCCCCGCAAGGGGGAGCGGCGGACGGGUGAGUAACGCGUGGGAAUUUUCCUCAAGGUACGGAACAACUCAGGGAAACUUGGGCUAAUACCGUAUGAUGUCUAGCGACCAAAGAUUUAUCGCCUUGGGAUAAGCCCGCGUCAGAUUAGGUAGUUGGUGGGGUAACGGCCUACCAAGCCUGCGAUCUGUAGCUGGUCUGAGAGGACGAUCAGCCACACUGGGACUGAGACACGGCCCAGACUCCUACGGGAGGCAGCAGUGGGGAAUCUUGCGCAAUGGGCGAAAGCCUGACGCAGCCAUGCCGCGUGAAUGAUGAAAGUCUUAGGAUUGUAAAGUUCUUUCGCCCGUGACGAUUAUGACGGUAACGGGAGAAGAAGCCCCGGCUAACUUCGUGCCACCCCCCGCG
rnacentral:rRNA from 1 species